rnacentral:rRNA from 1 species
ACGGGAGGCAGCAGUUAGGAAUAUUGGGCAAUGGAGGAAACUCUGACCCAGCAACGCCGCGUGAAGGAUGAAGGUCCUCGGAUUGUAAACUUCUGUUCUAAGGGAAGAAUAAAAUGACGGUACCUUAGAAGAAAGCCCCGGCAAACUACGUGCCAGCAGCCGCGGUGAUACGUAGGGGGCAAGCGUUAUCCGGAAUGACUGGGCGUAAAGGGAGCGUAGGCGGCUGUUUAAGUUAAAUGUGUAAGCUCGGGGCUUAACUCCGGAAUUGCAUUUAAUACUGGACGGCUUGAGUGUGGGAGAGGUAAGUGGAAUUCCUAGUGUAGCAGUGAAAUGCAUAGAUAUUAGGAGGAACAUCGGUGGCGAAGGCGACUUACUGGAACAUAACUGACGCUGAGGCUCGAAAGCGUGGGGAGCAAACAGGAUUAGAUACCCUGGUA